GCCAGGUUUAAUUAGCGCGGCUGGCUGUGCUGCCUGUGCAUGCAUCACCAGCACACCGCGCCACUACCGGAGCGCCGGUUCACGCACCCACACUACUCUCGCCUCGUCUGCACGACUGCACCCGCCUUGGCCAAGGCGGAACGCGCUAUAAAAAGCAGCGCCGCCGCGCGAGCUCUUGCUACUGUGUGGUGCAAGUGCAACCAAUCUGAUCACCCAGUCGUCCCUUCCAAUACCCGGUGCGGUGAUGAUGAUGGCUCGGGGAAGAGGUGGUGCGAUCGGCGGCGGCGGCGUCAUCGCGUUGGUGCUCCUGGUCGGCCUCUUCGUGGCGACGAGUGCCCCGCCGGUCGCCGAGGCGGCGGCGUCGUACAUGGUCGGCGACUACGGCGGGUGGAAGUUCAACGUCGACAGGUGGGCCAAGGGGAGGACCUUCCGCGCCGGCGACGUGCUCGUGUUCAGCUACAACCGUGCGGUGCACGACGUGGCGGUGGUGAACGCGGCGGCGUACCGGAGCUGCGCGGUGCCCAACAAGGGCGCGAGGGUGCUGCGGAGCGGGCGCGACAAGGUGAGGCUCGGCAGAGGCACGCACUACUUCGCCUGCACCGUGCGGGGACACUGCCAAGCCGGCAUGAAGCUCGCCGUCAGGGCCGUGUAGUAGUCCCGCCUGGCAACGGCGGCCACGCCCAACUUCCAGAGUCCAGAUCCAUCGAUCCAUGCCUCAGGUCGGCUGCGUGUGGGAUCCUGAAAAAUCUAGACCUCCUAGCUAUUUUGCGUUGCUUAGUUAAUCUAAUGGCGAGCUAUCUUGUCGUGUGUUCUGUGUACGUUUAUGGCCCUUUUGUUGAUGUUCUUGGGUUAUGCUAUGCACGAGUAGUACACAUGUCCAAAUGGGCUGGUCUGACAGUGGGCCUGUCAUCCGGCACAGUCGUGACCCGGCAUAAGCAUGGCCUGACCCGACUAAAACGGUACUCGGAUUGGCCUGCCCGAUAGCUGUGCCGGGCUUGGGCCGGCCGUCUAGCCCACGAUGCAGGCAUGAAUCUGGUCCGGUUAAAGGGUAGGCACGAUAACGGCUCGAUUGAGGAACUGAUUUUAUAACAACCAGUAUAUUUUUAUCUACAAUACUCAUGAUUCUGUUAUUAUGUGAUGUUAUUAUGUGAGAGCAUUCAG
rnacentral:misc_RNA from 1 species